AAACUAUUAAACUGUGGGAAUGUUCUGCACUUACGAACAAUCACAUUAAAGUACACUUUCAUAAGCCUUGAUGUAAAAAUUAUAUUGGAUUCACAGUGCAACACAACUCCUCUAUAUAUAUACCAGGAUGUGUAUUCUUAUUGAUGGUAUACUAUCUAAGAUAAUUUACACCAAAUAAUAUAAUCUUAAUGAAUUAUAACUCAUCGAAUUUACAAUUAGUUAAU